AUUGAACGCUGGCGGCAGGCCUAACACAUGCAAGUCGAGCGGAGCGGCGGACGGGUGAGUAAUGCCUAGGAAUCUGCCUGGUAGUGGGGGAUAACGUCCGGAAACGGGCGCUAAUACCGCAUCCUAUCAGAUGAGCCUAGUGCGGAUUAGCUAGUUGGGGGGGUAAAGGCCUACCAAGGCGACGAUCCGUAACUGGUCUGAGAGGAUGAUCAGUAACACUGGAAAUGAGACACGGUCCAGACUCCUACGGGAGGCAGCGGUGGGGAAUAUUGGACAAUGGGCGAAAGCCUGAUCCAGCCAUGCCGCGUGUGUGAAGAAGGUCUUCGGAGUGUUAAGCACUUUAAGUUGGGAGGCGUUACCAACAGAAUAAGCACCGGCUAACUUCGUGCCAGCCGCCGCGGUAAUUC
rnacentral:rRNA from 1 species